CUCCUGGGAGACUACUCACUGCCAAUCGGAGGGCGGCACGUUCAACAAAACAACUGCUUCAGAAUUCUGCGCAAACCGCCGUUUGUUAUUGCUGAAUGCAAAGACCUUUUAUCGACUCUUACACGUCGCCUUUACUUCCGACGAACAGUCCCCUCCGUGGUCCGAUCCGAGCUUGGAAAUUUGGGACGCACGCAGCACGAGCAGCCGGCAACAUAGCAUCGACGAGUGUCUCGCAUUCAACUUAUAUGGAUCUUAUCGUUUCGAUUGGAGCCUACGUAAUUGCUCUGAAGAACUCCGCUACCUAUGCAGGAAAAGCCAUCCACCAAAGACUCAUGGUUUUACGUGCGGCAAGUAUACACAUUACUGAAUCUGUAGUACCUGUUUGCGCUAUACUGGUAAGCAUGCCAUAUUUGUGGUAAUCAUUAUAUUUUCCGACUUCUUUGGGUCAACAGAAAAUGCGAGCUUGCCUAAUAUGGCGGGCCGUCACCCAGCUUGCAGAACGAACCUGGAAAAACCCUACCCUGUAGCGGCCAGGGUAUGCGACGCACUUGGGAUGGAGCUUCUGCCGGGUACUGUGGAGAAUAAGUUUAUAACGGACAUUAUUAAGCACUACGAAGACUACACGCACCGAGGGAGAGAUAGACUUUACUGGCUCGACGUUCCUCCACCAAGUGGCCACAGCUCCGUGUGCUCUGCAGCCCUUUACGGCGACGACGGCAUCGCAACUGCGCUGUCUGGACUGCACUGCAACACGUCUCUACAUUCGCUAUGCGUUUUCACCAACAUUAAAAGACGUUCCACAGUGGCGCUUAGCACCAGUGAAACUACGAUGGAUAUCGCCAGUGACAAUACUGAUAUUGGCAACGGUACUGUCAGUGAUGUUGCCAGCGAAAUCACUGAUCUUAACAAUAUUGCUGGCAGUCACACAA